AGAAUCAACGCUGGCGGCGUGCCUCAGACAUGCAAGUCGAACGCGAAAGUCCCCUUCGGGGGACAAGUAGAGUGGCGCACGGGUGAGUAACACGUAGGUAAUCUACCUUCGGGUGGGGAAUAACAAUCGGAAACGGUUGCUAAUACCGCAUAAUGCAGCGGCACCUAAUGGUGACAGUUGUUAAAGCGGGGGAUCGCAAGAUCUCGCGCCUGAAGAGGAGCCUGCGGCGGAUUAGCUAGUUGGUAGGGUAAUGGCCUACCAAGGCGACGAUCCGUAGCCGGCC
rnacentral:rRNA from 1 species